rnacentral:rRNA from 1 species
AUUGAACGCUGGCGGCAGGCCUAACACAUGCAAGUCGAGCGGAACGGCGGACGGGUGAGUAAUGACUAGGAAUCAACCUGGUAGUGGGGGAUAACGACCGGAAACGGGCGCUAAUACCGCAUACUAUCAGCAGAGGCUGGCUCGGAUUAGCUAGGUGGUGGGGUAAAGGCCUACCAAGGCGACGAGCCGUCACUGGUCUGAGUGGAUGAUCAGUCACACUGGAACUGAGACACGGUCCAGACUCCUACGGGAGGCAGCAGUGGGGAAUAUUGGACAAUGGGCGAAAGCCUGAUCCAGCCAUGCCGCGUGUGUGAAGAAGGUCUUCGGAUUGUAAAGCACUUUAAGUUGGGAGGCGUUACCAACAGAAUAAGCACCGGCUAACUUCGUGCCAGCAGCCGCGGUAAUUC